UCGCAACUGAUUUUGAUUUGA
rnacentral:piRNA from 1 species